GUAACUAUGGACGACCCCUGGGGGCCCCCAGGGGCUCCACCCGUGGGGCCCAGAGGAGCGCAGCUCAGGUGCAGUGCUGUAGCGUCCUGACCCACGACGUUGGAGAUGAGCUGUCUCAGUCUUGGGACUGCGGAGGACAUGUCCUGUAUAUUCCUUGUCUUGUCAGUACCUGCUUGCUGAGGAGAAAAAACAUGUAGGGCACAGUU
rnacentral:snoRNA from 1 species